UACGUAGGGGGCAAGCGUUGUCCGGAUUUAUUGGGCGUAAAGAGCGUGUGAGCGGCCAGGUAGGUCCGCUGUGAAAACUCGAGGCUCAACCUCGAGAUGUCGGCGGAAACCAUCUGGCUAGAGUCCGGAAGAGGAGAGUGGAAUUCCUGGUGUAGCGGUGAAAUGCGCAGAUAUCAGGAAGAACACCCGUGGCGAAGGCGGCUCUCUGGGCCUUACCUGACACUGAGGAGCGAAAGCGUGGGGAGCGAACAGG
rnacentral:rRNA from 1 species